UACGGAGGGGGCUAGCGUUGUUCGGAAUUACUGGGCGUAAAGCGCACGUAGGCGGUUUUUCAAGUCAGAGGUGAAAGCCCGGGGCUCAACCCCGGAAUUGCCUUUGAGACUGAGAGACUAGCAGGUGAGAGAGGUGAGUGGAAUUCCGAGUGUAGAGGUGAAAUUCGUAGAUAUUCGGAAGAACACCAGUGGCGAAGGCGGCUCACUGGCUCAUACUGGACGCUGAGGUGCGAAAGCGUGGGGAGCAAACAGG
rnacentral:rRNA from 1 species